UUUUUUCCCCUAAAGUUUUCUGCUUGCAACAAAAAUUUCUAAAAUUCCCUCCCUGAAAUUCGCCCCAUACUAAAAUUUAUCCAGCAAACAUCAAAUUCAUAAUCGUAUCGACCCCCACCGUGAAAAAAUAAAAUAACCAUUUAAAUAAAGAAAAAAAACAAUAGUUAACACCAUAAAGUCUUCAGAAAUCUUUCCCCCCAAAAUUUUCAGCAAAAUUCUUCUCCCUCUCAAAGUUUCUCCUCGAUCCCUUGAACCCAAACCAAUCGACGGCAGCCCUCACGUCGAAAACCCUAAUUACUAACCGGCUGCAACCCUCGCCUCACCUAAGCGGCGGCUACAAACCCUAAUUACCUAACCGGCGACUACAAACCCUAAUCGGAGCUUGAACUGAUCGACAAAUAGAGGUGAUAUUGUAGUUGUUCUACCUUUAGGCGAUUGUUCACUCACCACCGAGUGUGAAGGUUAGGUUCCUUUGAACUUCAUCUCAACCUAGAUUUUGGGAAUUUUGGGGCUUACAACCUUUAAAUUGUUCACAUCUUCGUUAUUGUGUUCUAGGGCUUACAAGCAUGUAACUCUGGAUUUUAUGUUUGAAUUGUCGAUAACCGUUAUUAUUACAAUUUCAAAGUUCAGGAAGGGUCGGUUGCCUGAUUAGGGUUCCGACAACUCCGUCUUGAUCUAUCCCCAGGUGGUGUUAAGAUUGAAAUUCCUAUUGUGAUUUUGGUGAAGGUGGUGUUGAGAUGGGGAUGAUGUAUAGAGUAUCUUCAAGCUGUUCGUAUUUUGCAUUUUGAUCAUGGAGCUGUUUUUCUUUUACGAAGAACGACAUGAUAGAGAUGGUGAUCUUAGGCGAUGAAACCUGGCACAAUAGGGUCAUGGGCCUCGCAGGUAUUCAAGAAUCUAAAUGUGAAUACGAAGGAAGUCAACCCAAGACAAGGCUAGGAUAAUAGGAAGCAGAACCCCUGAUUUUGUCAACAAAAAAAGGCCGAAGAAGUUAAAUCUACAGUGAGACGUGCUGUAAAUCAAGUUGAAUUACCAGCUGAAGUUGUAGAUCCAUCUUAUUAGGAUGGUCUUAUAUCUAGUUUUAAAUUAUUCAGUAAUGCAACUAAUGGGUUCUUUUUAUAAUCUAGCAGUGCAUGGAAGGGUUUAAAAAGAGAACUUAUUACAUCACUCAUGAACUCAUCUAGGUACAUUUUGAAACCGCUCGUUAACAUUUUCUAUUCUUGCUUGCGUGGGUCUUUAAAGUUUUAUUCCUUUUCACUGAUUAUCUCUAUGUGACGGCUGACGCAACCUGGG
rnacentral:lncRNA from 1 species